rnacentral:lncRNA from 1 species
GAAGAGAGGAAGGAGACUCACACCCAGCCAGCUGCUUUUCAUACCAUUCAAAGGAAUCACAGACCAAAUUUGGACUCCUCAUCUGUUUUUAAGAGGGAAAUCUGAGUUUUCAAGGAAAGCCGAAUACAGUUGCCAAGUUGCCAGUCAAAGAAACAAUGUCAACACCUGCUCAUAGAGAUGGAAUUCCUAACCCGGAAUAUUGCCCUUGAAUUACAACGAGAAAAAGAACACUUCUUAUUCCUGUAGCACCUCUUCAAGUGAGAUGGCAGACCACCUCAGGAUGGAAAUGUAUUUCUUCAUCCCCCUCUCUACUUCCCUGUGACCUCCUGCAAAUAAGGGAGAGACAAAGAGAAGAGCAGAAGAACAGAAGAAUGGAGUGGCAAAGAGAAGAGAAGGAGUGACUGAACAUUGACAAGACUUUGGUUGGGGAUGGUCAGAGAGGAGAUUAGCUGCUAGACGGCCACACUGCGGAGAAAGAUCAUUUUCCCACUCCAUCCCCCUUCCAGCUCCCCAUCCAUCUCACCAAGAGCCAGCUCCACCACUCAAUAAAACCUUACAUUCAUCUUUCAA